rnacentral:lncRNA from 10 species
AUUCCUCUUCCAAAGACUUGCUGAGCACCUUCUAGGUGCCAGAUGCGGUGCUGGCUCCUGGGGACAUGGGAGUGAACAGGCCAGGCGUGGCCCUGAACCAUCAAAUAGACAACCACAGAAAUAACAACGAAUGAUGCUGGAGGCUGACGAAGAUAAGGGUGGAAAGUGGGCAAUAAAUCAGGAGCUGUUGCAACAUUCCCAGCAAAGGAUAAUGAACAAAGACAAAACCGGGCCCUUCCACACAGUAGCUGGAACACAAAGGAAGAUCAGCCAAGCCUCAACAUAAUCUCAUAAAAAUUCUUCAAAUAUCCCAUUGUUAUGGAUUCAUACAUCAGGAAAGCAGAUGCCAAGAACCUGAACACCUUCUACUGGUAACAUAUAUUUUGGCGAGCCAGCCUGGAGACAAGACCACUAUGGGCAACUUCCUGUCUAUUCUACCUGGUGUCACUGUGGACAACUUCCUAUCUAUUCCACCCGAUUCACCGCUUGGCUACAUCCUCCACCAUUGGGAUGAAUUUGACCCUAACAAUCUAAAGAAAAGGCAUAUGAUUUUUUACUGC